CAGCAGCCGCGGGAAUACGUAGGGCGCAAGCGUUAUCCGGAAUUAUUGGGCGUAAAGAGCUCGUAGGCGGUUUGUCGCGUCUGCUGUGAAAUCUGGGGGCUCAACCCCCAGCCUGCAGUGGGUACGGGCAGACUAGAGUGCGGUAGGGGAGAUUGGAAUUCCUGGUGUAGCGGUGGAAUGCGCAGAUAUCAGGAGGAACACCGAUGGCGAAGGCAGAUCUCUGGGCCGUAACUGACGCUGAGGAGCGAAAGGGUGGGGAGCAAACAGGCUUAGAUACCCCGGUAGUCCCUGUCUCUUAUAC
rnacentral:rRNA from 1 species